GACGAACGCUGGCGGCGUGCUUAACACAUGCAAGUCGAACGGAAAGGCCCUGCUUUUGUGGGGUGCUCGAGUGGCGAACGGGUGAGUAACACGUGAGUAACCUGCCCUUGACUUUGGGAUAACUUCAGGAAACUGGGGCUAAUACCGGAUAGGAGCUCCUGCUGCAUGGUGGGGGUUGGAAAGUUUCGGCGGUUGGGGAUGGACUCGCGGCUUAUCAGCUUGUUGGUGGGGUAGUGGCUUACCAAGGCUUUGACGGGUAGCCGGCCUGAGAGGGUGACCGGCCACAUUGGGACUGAGAUACGGCCCAGACUCCUACGGGAGGCAGCGGUGGGGAAUAUUGCACAAUGGGCGGAAGCCUGAUGCGGCAGCGCCGCGUGCGGGAUGACGGCCUUCGGGUUGUAAACCGCUUUCGCCUGUGACGAAGCGUGAGUGACGGUAAUGGGUAAAGAAGCACCGGCUAACUACGUG
rnacentral:rRNA from 1 species